GAGGUACUCUAAGCGCUAGACAGGACGGGGUGGGAGUCGGUAACAUCGUCUCCUCUGGGCUGGCCCUGCUUCUGCUUAGCUCUGGGCAUAAGACUGACUCCAGUACAGUCACAGUUAUGUCUCUGAGCUCACCCAGUCCUGGGUUCCAGGUUCCCAGCUCUGAGCCUGGCGAGACACACACAGGCUGGUGCUGUGGGAUGUCUUGGUACGGUGAUCUGCUUGCCUUGACCUCCCAAAGUUCAGGGAUUACAGGCGUGAGGCACCAUGCCCAGCCAGUCCCUGUCUUCAAAUACAGUCACACUGGGGGUUAAACAAUGUAUAAAUUUGGGGGCGAUACAAACAUUCAGUCCAUAACACCCCCUAUACCCCAACCCUAGGCAACCACUAAUCUACAUCUUAUCUCUACAGAUGACCUAUUCUGGACAUGUCAUAUAAAUGGAAUCAUACAA
ensembl:lncRNA novel transcript